CCUGAUGCAGCGACGCCGCGUGAGGGAUGACGGGCCUUACGGGUUGUAAACCUCUUUCAGUAGGGAAGAAGCGAAAGUGACGGUACCUGCAGAAGAAGCGCCGGCUAACUACGUGCCAGCAGCCGCGGUAAUACGUAGGGCGCAAGCGUUAUCCGGAAUUAUUGGGCGUAAAGAGCUCGUAGGCGGUUUGUCGCGUCUGCCGUGAAAGUCCGGGGGCUCAACUCCGGAUCUGCGGUGGGUACGGGCAGACUAGAGUGAUGUAGGGGAGACUGGAAUUCCUGGUGUAGCGGUGAAAUGCGCAGAUAUCAGGAGGAACACCGAUGGCGAAGGCAGGUCUCUGGGCAUUAACUGACGCUGAGGAGCGAAAGCAUGGGGAGCGAACAGGAUUAGAUACCCUGGUAGUCCAUGCCGUAAACGUUGGGCACUAGGUGUGGGGGACAUUCCACGUUUUCCGCGCCGUAGCUAACGCAUUAAGUGCCCCGCCUGGGGAGUACGGCCGCAAGGCUA
rnacentral:rRNA from 1 species